rnacentral:tRNA from 1 species
UAGAAAGUGGUGUAAUGGAAUCACCCGGAGUUUUGAUCUCUAAGAUGUGGGUUCGAGUCCCUCCUUUCUAA